GGAGGGUUCGCAUAGUGGUCUAGUGCGCUCGCUUGGAAAGCGAGUUUGCCGCAAGGCAUCACAGGUUCAAAUCCUGUACCCUCCGCCA
rnacentral:tRNA from 1 species